AUGAACGCUGGCGGCGUGCUUAACACCUGCCAGUCGAACGAAGCACUUUAUUUGAUUUCCUUCGGGACUGAUUAUUUUGUGACUGAGUGGCGGACGGGUGAGUAACGCGUGGGUAACCUGCCUUGUACAGGGGGAUAACAGUUGGAAACGGCUGCUAAUACCGCAUAAGCGCACAGCAUCGCAUGAUGCAGUGUGAAAAACUCCGGUGGUAUAAGAUGGACCCGCGUUGGAUUAGCUAGUUGGUGAGGUAACGGCCCACCAAGGCGACGAUCCAUAGCCGACCUGAGAGGGUGACCGGCCACAUUGGGACUGAGACACGGCCCAAACUCCUACGGGAGGCAGCAGUGGGGAAUAUUGCACAAUGGGCGAAAGCCUGAUGCAGCGACGCCGCGUGAGCGAAGAAGUAUUUCGGUAUGUAAAGCUCUAUCAGCAGGGAAGAUAAUGACGGUACCUGACUAAGAAGCACCGGCUAAAUACGUG
rnacentral:rRNA from 1 species